rnacentral:tRNA from 1 species
GCGCCCGUAGCUCAGCAGGACAGAGCAGCGGUUUCCUAAACCGCGUGUCAGGGGUUCGAGUCCUCUCGGGCGCACCA